UACGGAGGGUGCAAGCGUUAUCCGGAUUUACCGGGUUUAAAGGGUGCGUAGGUGGGUCUGUAAGUCAGGGGUGAAAUCUCCGAGCUUAACUCGGAAACUGCCAUUGAUACUAUAGGUCUUGAAUUAUCUGGAGGUGAGCGGAAUAUGUCAUGUAGCGGUGAAAUGCUUAGAUAUGACAUAGAACACCAAUUGCGAAGGCAGCUCACUACGGAUAUAUUGACACUGAGGCACGAAAGCGUGGGGAUCAAACAGG
rnacentral:rRNA from 1 species